ACGUGAUUGAACGGUCCAGAUUAGAUCGCGAUGGACGACCCAUAUUGAAUCGUGAUGAAUAGCCCAGAUUCACUUCCUAUUUAAUCGCGAUCGGACGGUCCAAAUCCAACGCGAUGGACGGUCCAGAUCAAAGCGGACAGAUAUAAAUAAUCCCCAUCCAUACCAAACUUUAACCCUAGCUGUAACGGCCCCGGAAUUUUAAAAUGAAAUAUGUGUAUUAAAAAGGUCAAAUGCGGAAGCGUAAUAAAAAUUUUGAUUAAACAUCCCUUACACUAAAACAUAAAACGUGCUCAAAGUAUAAAAGAACAAAUUAACUAAAAGAGAAACUUGAAAAU
rnacentral:lncRNA from 1 species